rnacentral:rRNA from 1 species
AAGACCCCAUGGAGCUUUAAACCCAACGACACCCGCCCCCCUCCAAAUCCUACUAUUUACCCGGUGAUUGUUUGUUUGGUUUUAGGUUGGGGUGACCGCGGAGUAUAAGAUAUCCUCCAUGAAAAAAAGCUAACUGCCCUUAUUAGAGAAAGACACUUCCAAAAAAUAAUAAAUUAAUUUUAAAUGAUCCGACAUUCGAUCAACGAACCAAGUUACCCUGGGGAUAACAGCGCAAUCCGUCCCGAGAGCCCCUAUCGACAGGCGGGUUUACGACCUCGAUGUUGGAUCAGGGUAUCCUAGUGGUGCAGCAGCUACUAAAGGUUCGUUUGUUCAACGAUUAAAACCCU